rnacentral:rRNA from 1 species
UGCCAGCAGCCGCGGUAAUACGGAGGGAGCGAACGUUGUUCGGAUUUACUGGGCGUAAAGGGCGUGUAGGCGGCUCCGCAAGUCAGAGGUGAAAUUUCUCGGCUCAACCGGGAACCUGCCUUUGAAACUGCAGGGCUUGAGGUCGUGAGAGGAGACUGGAAUUCCUAGUGUAGCGGUGAAAUGCAUAGAUAUCGGAAGGAACACCAGUGGCGAAGGCGACUUCCUGGGCCAAUACUGACGCUGAGGUGCGAAAGCGUGGGGAGCAAACCGGAUUAGAUA